AGGCCUGGUGCGUAAGUCUACCCCACACAGUCCUUUGCGAUUUUCCUCUCCCACUUUGGGAGCCAGUGGAUGAAGAGGGUGGAACCAUAGAAUAGAAGGAACCCAGAUACAGAUCACUGUUCAGAGGAGAGCUGCCUGCCAGUCAGGAAGACCCAUUUUGGACUUUAUAAAUGCUCUGACCUUAAAAGGAAUAUUGGAGGCAGGAGGAAACAGAGGAAGCAAGAAGAAUUUCCUGGAAGGUAAUUAUUGUAAUAUAAGCAUACUUCGGAGAUAUUGCAGGUUCCGUUCCAGACCACUGCAACAGUGAAUAUCUCAAUCAAGAAGAUGACCACGGCCCCUCUGUUCCCUCGCCUGUGUGCCAAAUGGAUCCACAGCUAGAGACAAGCUCCUUCCCUUUGAACGGUGGGAAGCAGGCCAAGAUGUUUUAAAGACAGAUGGCAUCAGAUGCAGAGAAGCAAGCUGGAACUCGGAGCACAGCUGCCUUAUUUACUUACCUACUGGCUGCAUUUCUGAGAACCAGUUUUAUUCCUGUUCAAAGGAAGCCAGGCAGAGUUGGGAAAAUAUUUUCCUAGCCAGCUCCUUAGCACCACUGUCUGAGGGAAACCAUCUGGCCAAGAUGCCCUUCAAACUUCUUCUCGGCGCUGCAUUUUGAAUUGUUUCUACUAGUGUAUCUUGAAGUUUACUAAGCUUUUCUUCUGGAGUGUCUAAGAUGCUGUUCAUCUCGGCCAGUAUUUUUUCAUCUGUAGAAUUUAAUUCAGUCUUUUUUUAUGUUCUCCAUAUCUCUCCUUAACAUGCUCAUACAUUCUUCUACCUUUGUGAACACAUGGAGUAUAUUAUCACUUUUUAAUAUUCUGCUCCGCAUAAUUCUAGCAUCUGUAUCAUUUCUGUUUCAGUCAAUUUAUUUUUCUUCUUAUUCUGGGUCAUAUUUUCUUUUUGUUUUGUUUUGUUUUGUUUUCAGAAAGAGUCUCGCUCUGUCGCCCAGGUUGGAGUGCAGUGGCACGAUCUCGGCUCACUGAAACCUCCGUCUCCCGGGUUCAAGCGAUUCUCCUACCUCAGCGUUCCGAGUAGCUGGGACUACAGGUGCGCACCGCCACGCCCGGCUAAUUUUUGUAUUUUUUUGUAGAGACGGGGUUUUGCCAUGUUGCCCAGGCUUGUCUCGAAUUCCUGAGCUCAAGCAGUUCGCCCGCUUUGGCCCCUCAAAGUGUUGGGACUACAGGUGUAAGCCACUGUGCCCGGCCCUGGGUCGUAUUUUCCUGCCUCUUUGUAUGCCUGUUAAGGUUUGAUUGGAUGCCAGAUGUGGCUGGAAAGGUCACUCAUGAUUAGUUACUUCUACUAAUUCUCUGACUUCAUCUUCUAAUCUCCACCCCUCCCAGGUCUCUGAUUUUGCCACCCUGAACUUCUUGCACACUUCCUCGUUCAUUUGCACAUGCUGUCCCCUUUCUCUGGGGCACUCUUCCCUAGGCGGUCCCCAUGGGUUUCUCCCUAACUUCAUUUGGGUCUGUGUUCAAAUGUCACAUUACCAAAAACAUUCUAUCACCUUUCCUUGCUUUAUUUGCCUUUAAACAUUUAUAACCACUUGCCAGCCAUGUUACUUACUGAUUGUCUAUUUUUACCUCACCGCCCACCUCUGCUAAAAUGUACCAUGACAGCAUCACCGAGAACUACUGCCAUCAGCUAUAUAAUGAAACUAUUUUUAAGCAACAACAACAGCAGCAGAGAAGAGGGACCAACAGGGUCCAAUGCAUCAGAGGGGUCCAAACUGGUAAGCACUGAAAAAUAUCUAUUGAAUCGGACAAUUAGGAGGACUAACCUCCUCAAGAGUAAGUUCCUGCAGUUUGCUGGAUAAAGGGCAUCAGAGCGCCGUGGGUUGGGUUGAGGACAUCUUCUCCCUUACAGCCUCCUGGUUCUUCUCUCAGAAAAACUUCUCCUCCUUCCCAGCUCAAUCCUAUUUAUUUAUUUUAAAAUUUAUUGUGUAUAUUUAAGGUAUACAACAUGCUGUUAUAGGAUACACAUAGUUAGUAAAAUAUUUACUAUAGCAAAGCAAAUGAACAUCUCUGUCGUCUCCGCACAGUUACCCAUUUUUGUUGCUUUUGUGGCAAGAGCAGCUACAAUCUAGUCAUUUAGUAGGAAUCCCAAGUACAGUGCGAUUUUAUGACCUACAACCAUCAUGGUGUACAUUAGAUCUCUCCACACACCUGUUACAUUGUAUCCUCUGACCUACGUCUUCCCAUUUCUUCCUCCCAUUCCUCCCCAGCCUGCUUCCACCCCAGUAACUGCUGUUUUAUUAUCUGCGUCUGCACAUUUGAUUUUGUUUUUAGAUUCCACAUGUAAGUGACAUCAUGCACUAUUUUUUUUUCCUGUCUGACGCAUUUCACUCAGCAUAGUGUCUUCCAGGUUAAUCCAUGUUGUGCCAAACGACAGGACCUUCUUUUUAAAGGCUGAAUAAUAUUCCAUUGUAUACAGAUGCCACAGUUUUUUAAAUCCAUUCCUCCAUCGACACUUGGGUGGUUCCAUAUCUUGACUAUUGUGAAGAAUGCUGCGUGAAAAUAGAAGUGCAGCCUGAGCUUUUGCUGCGAUCUCCAAAAAAUCAUUGCCAG
rnacentral:lncRNA from 1 species